rnacentral:lncRNA from 1 species
GAUUUGAAGUGUACUUGCAACCUGCUGUUUGUUCUGAUUAAGUACUUGUAUAAUAUGGUGUAUGUGAUCUGAGAUCUGACUAGUUGAGGCUUUGCUACUUUGGGAGAUACUUGAUCUAUUAUAUUUUGGUUCUAUCAAUUAGUAUUCUGCUAGCAUAUAUGUGUGUUCACCCUGUGUACUAGUCCCCUGUACUAGUUAACUUCCAGUACCAGUUAACUUUGUGUGUGAUUAAUUUUCUGUCUCUGUGAUAGCUUCGUCUCUGUGACAAAUAUGUUUGUAAUGUGACCCAUUUCUAUUUUGCUAUAUAUGUUCAUGUCCUGUUGUUCCCUUUGUGUUACUGUUUUAGUUUCUCAUGCCAAUAAAAAUAAUACCAAAAAGACAGAGAGUAUAAUCUGAAUCUCCUUUGCUUCUUUUUGUUUACCUUGGCGACAAUCAUUGAUAGUUUAGGUUUUAUUUCUGCAUUCAUAAGCUGAAUUGUGUUACCUAGCUUUAUCCGAGCACGAUCAUUGACUUGCCUACUCCCUGAGGAGAACACGACACUCGCAGUUUGGGCGUAAAAAACCCCCCUAUAUUACAAUUGAUCAUUUUGGCGCCGUUGCCGGGGAACUAGCGUCGUGUGACCGUGUUAGGCUAUAGACUAGGUUUUUCUUCUUUUUCUAGUUUGUGCCAUAUAUUCGUGAUAUAUCUCUAACCACUAACCUCUGUUCUAGUUAGUAUCUUUUUUGUUUUCUUUUCCUUUUUGUAGGUUAGAACUAUCUUCUCGGUUACGGCUUACUAUUCAGAUCAUCAGGCUUAUGCGAGCAACACUACAAACAACACAAAAAGUAUUCAAGAACUGAUAAGUAAGAUUUCCCAUCAAUUAGAUGAUUUAGCUCUGCAGCGAGAAGUAGUUUUUGAGGAUAGGCCUAGCUCUUAUGAUCCUUAUUCUAGAGGCCAUCCUUAUGUUGCUCCUACCUGCCAUAUUUGUGGAUUUCAGGGCCAUUCGCCCGCUGAAUGUCAGCGUGGUUACUCCCAUCCUCCGAAUUGUUUUGGCAUGAGCUUCGCUCAACAGCAUAGCUCAUACCAAAACAAUUACUCAGAUGGGUGGCCUGAAAGCCUGGAUAUGUCAUAUAGGAGCAACAACCCUGAGAUCUCAUCGUUUGCCUCUAGUUAUCCAUUGCAGAGAUUUAGGUAUGAAGAGGAGAGCCACAACUAUGCUCCACAACAGAUUUAUUCAGCUCCUACUCAUAUACCUCAACACCAGGACAUGUUGCCAAUGGAGUUAAAUGGUCCUCCAUUUGGUCAACCAACAUCUUCAGCACAAGUGCCCACACAAGAUGACUUUGAUGAUAUAGACAAGCUCACAUUGCUUAGUCUCGAGUUCACUUGGAGUGCCGAAGAUGAUCCAAUUAGGCCGGUGAUACUAGAGGAAAUGAAGAAGAUUAAGAGUGGAAAGGAGCUAGUGGAAGAAGUAAGGAAGAUUGAGAAGAACAUCAACGCUGUCAGUACUAUCUCUUCCCUCCUUGAGCUGAGUGUUGCCGGGAUAUCCCUUGAGGUGUGUGAGGUUCCAACACCUUCACAUUCAGCUGAGCAAGAUAGCGAGGGUCCAGAGGAAGAGAUACUUCAGAUCCAAGAAGAAAUUCUCGAAGCCAAGGCACAAGAUGAUCCAAAGCUCGAACAACAAAGUGAUCAAGUUGAAGACUCAUCAUCUAUUAUUCUUGAAGAAGCAAAAGAAGUUGAUGUGAUUGAAGAUGAAGAACCAGAAACGCAUUUGCCCAUCGUCAUACAGGAGCGUGAUUUAGCAGGUUUAUCCAAUCCUCUUGAUGACAUGCUUCCUUAUGAGAUCUUUGCUGAUACUUUCCAUUGUGUUAUACCAUCAAUUAAGCUAGACUUGAAAAAUUAUUUGCUUGGACAUGAUCAUACAUACAUUGUUGGUGGCAUUGCUCUCAUUCCUAAUGAUGACACUUAUUUUCCUUAUGCUAGUCCUAUGCUUAAUGAAACAUAUUAUUCCCAUGCUAGUCUUGACCUUAAUGAUAAAUUUCAUCCUCAUGUUAGUGUCGACCUUGCUGAUUUAUACCAUCCUAAACAUGUGCUUUAUAGCUAUGCUUAUGUAAUUGGAUAUUCGAUUGAUGACUUGGAGGGUAUUAUCCCUACCACUUGCAUUAUCUCUUUCGUUGAGUGCUCUUUCAGGUUCUUGCUUGUGCAUGAUCCACUACAUGCUGACCAAGUUUGAGAUGACAUUCCCUGGGACCCCGGUGGACCUAUGGCAUGGGGAUGAGGAGAAGCAAGGAGCACACAUGAAGAGAGAAGCUGGAGCAGGCAUGAGGAUAGAGAAGCAAAAAGAGAAGAGUUGUAGUUCAGAGAGUGAUUGUGCGAGACCUACAUCAUAUAAGCCCGGUGAGCUGUUUCAUGACCCAUUCUGAGUAUAUCAUCCAUUGAUACAUGCUGAAAUCAAAUGUUAUUUGGGUUGCUUAAGCCAUGUCUUAAAUGUUGCCCCACUGAAUUUUAUUUGACAUAUGGUGCUUGAUGAGAAUAUGCGAACUGAUUGUUCAAUGCCAUGUAAACUAGUGUUCUACAUAUUGCUUGCUUUGCUGAAAUUAGUGAAAGUUAUUAGUUUUGAGUGCUCAAAUCCCUAGUACACUAGAAAACUUAAUCAUUUUCUUCUUUUACCUCGAUACACCUAGAUCACCAUGUUUAGAUGCUGUAUUUGUGCCAAGUUUCUUCCCAUUGAGAGCAAUCACCUAACCACUAUGGAUUAGCAUGCUAUGUUCCCUGGAUCGGUAGCAUGUGAACCAGACAUGGAGAAGUGAUGAUUCCUGUUUUUGUUCUUAUGCGUUGUUCAUUUAAGAUAAGUAAUAAUGAAUAAAUAAGUCUGGCUACCUACAGUAGCAUGUCAUGUUCCCGGGAUCGGUGGCAUGUGAAAUCGGGUUAGCUUGGGCAGUAAUUAAUAAUAAUAAUGUAAUUGUCGAACCAGGUGUAUACCAUGUUCUCGGGAUCGGUGGUAUGUUCCUUUGGGGAGACAAACAAAAAAAAUUAUAAAAUUGGUCGAGCCGGGUGUAUACCAUGUUCUCGCGAUCGGUGGUAUGUACCUUUGGUGAGAUCAAUAAAAUAUUAUCAUUACUUUCUUCAAAUUCAAUAAGUGGUUCAACCACAAUGUUCCUGGUAAUAAGUGAUCUGAUCACAAGUUUAAGUUCUUUUUAUUUUUUUGGAUCAUGCUCUCUUUAGGAACCAUUUGGCGCGGUCAUCAUUUAAACUUGUUGAUCCUCUUUUAUCAUUGUAAAAGUUUAAAAUGGUCAUGCUUACUAGUAUCCUACUGCUUUGUAGCACUCUUAACCAUUAAUUUUCAUUAGCUAAGUCCAAAGCAUGCUUUGUUUGGAGAUCUACUUCACUAGGACAUUCUCCAGUCAGCUCACUGUUCAUUAUCUAGCUCUUGUCAUAUUCCUUUGCUUGAGGACAAGCAAAAGUUUAAGUGUGGGGGAACUUGAUAAGCACAUUUCUUAUAUACUAUUUGGGCACACAAAUUCACCAUUUAUUGAGAUAUAUCCAUCCAUUCUUGCUAUGACUUGUUGAAUAUCCGAAUGAUAAUCAUAAAAGAGAAUGUUGACUAGUGAAUUGUUUAUUUUGCAAAAAAGUGCGCAAAGGCACUAUAAUCAUCAAGACUUCUACUAUGUGGCUAACGAGAAGAGAGAAGGGCAUGAAAGAAAUAUGUCAAGGCUUGAGCGUGAAGGAAAGAAGUAAUGUAGGGGAGCAAACUAAAAGAAGAGGAGGAUCUUCUUGGGCAGAAAUGAAGAGAAGAGGAGGGCCAAUGUGCAAAUGUGGCAGAUCAGAGAGGGGAAUGAAAUCCCUAGCCACACCUCAUUGCAAAUCGGGCCUAGCCACAUCUUCAUCUCUCUCCCCCUCACCACUCCUUCUCCACCUCCGGCCGCCGCCACGACCAGGCCGGCGUGGUGGUGCACCUCCACAGCCCAUCCACCCACCAGCGCCAUCCAUCACCAGCACCAACACCCAGCGCCACCAUCACCUCCUGCCGCCAGUGCCACCACCACCUCGCGCACCCUGCAAUCCAUCUCCCUGUUGCUCCUCCACCUUUCUUCUUCUCGUAACCUACUGCUGCUCUCCUUCUUCUUCCCUAGCCUCGCUGCUGCUCUUCCUUCUCCAAAUCCCCAAACUGUUGCUCCUCUUUCUUACACGCCUGCUGCUGUUCUUCUUCUCCUAUCUUGCUGCACCACUACUGUUGCUCCUUGUCUCCUGCGUCCCCUGCUGCUCCUAACUUGCUGCUACUGCUGCUCCUUCCUCCCUUACCUUGCUGCUGCACUUCUCUGAAUCCGAAUCAUUACUGUUUCUCUCUCUCUCUGAAAUUUCUGUAAAAUUUAGAAGUGUAUGACAUUUAAUAUUCAGAUUUGAAGUGUACUUGCAACCUGCUGUUUGUUCUGUUUAAGUACUUGUAUAAUAUGGUGUAUGUGAUCUGAGAUCUGACUAGUUGAGGCUUUGCUACUUUGGGAGAUACUUGAUCUAUUAUAUUUUGGUUCUAUCAAUUAGUAUUCUGCUAGCAUAUAUGUGUGUUCACCAUGUGUACUAGUCCCCUGUACUAGUUAACUUCUAGUACCAGUUAACUUUGUGUGUGAUUAAUU